rnacentral:lncRNA from 1 species
UGCGCGUGAUUCAUUGGAUAUACUUCUACUCUACAACGUCGGUAUAACAAUCACUCCCCUCUCCUUUACCUUUGUGUAUACCUUGCUAGUUGUGUAGCUUGUUUAGCUUAGCUAUCUUGUUUAGGAGAGUAGCAAGCUUCUAGUUGUGCUUUCUUGUUGUAACUAGUGUUUAGCCUUCUUGCUAGACUUGUGUAGGUGGCUUGCAUAGCUUAGUUGUGCUAGUGCUAGAAUAGCUUCGCCUUUUGUUUUACUAAUCAACUUGUCUAGUUGAAGUUUGUAGAAUUUUUAAAUAGGCUAUUCACCCCCCCUCUAGCCAUUUGGACCUUUA